UACGGAGGGGGCUAGCGUUGUUCGGAAUUACUGGGCGUAAAGCGCACGUAGUCGGCUUUGCAAGUCGGGUGUGAAAUCCCCGGGCUCAACCUGGGAACUGCAUCCGAGACUGCAUUGCUAGAGUAUGGGAGAGGGAAGCGGAAUUUCUGGUGUAGCAGUGAAAUGCGUAGAUAUCAGAAGGAACACCGAUGGCGAAGGCAGGUCUCUGGGCUGAAACUGACGCUCAUGCACGAAAGCGUGGGGAGCAAACAGG
rnacentral:rRNA from 1 species